CAGAGCAGAAGCAUGCAGAGAAGCAAGAAGGAAGGAUGCUGAGAGUAACACUUGGCAGCAGAAAGAAGCAGCAUUGAGCUGUUCCUGCAAGUAGUUCUGUGACUUAGAAUCUGACAACAGCUGCAUGCCAAGGAACAAAGAAGGAGAUUGACAAUUUGAAGCAAGAGCAGAUAGGAAAAAAGAAGUACUUUAUAAUAAUGGAAACUUGAAAGAAAAGGCAUGAUUUGGGAGCUGACAGCUGCUUUCCUGGUGAAGAGAAGACAUGGAAUAUUUUUUUUCUGGUGGCCAAAUUAUGGGCAGUCUCCAGCUCUUAGAUAUUUUACCAGACGUUUGUUUGCCACUCUUGAAAAGUGCUCAGACAGCCUGCUGCUGUUUUGCUUCUGCCUCCUUUUCUCAUGAUUCUUGUGAAUCUUCUGCUCAAGCCAAACGUCUCCUUUCAUGAUGCCAGCACAGCAUUCUGGUCCAUCUGUGGCACUGACUCCCAUUUUUCAGAUGGGAUCAGACAUUGUCUCAGGUUUUACU